rnacentral:lncRNA from 1 species
AUGUAUGAAGGUUCUCUUUCGAUUGCUCCUAUUCAUCGCAGACUUACCUGUUUAACAAAACUCUUCCAUUCAUGUUCUGAAAUAUCAACCAAUAAUUCAUCUCUCUCUUCUUCAAACAAUAUAAGCUGUUUAUGUACCCUAAUAAUUAUGCACUGGAGAAUCAUUUUCAGAAAAAGACUGUCACCACCAGAGAUAACAAAUGUUGGUAAGCUUCAAUAA